rnacentral:sRNA from 1 species
GCGCAGGUGGAGCGCGUCGGGCCCCUGGAUCCGGGGAAACGGCCAGGGUUGCGGGAGUCUCUUCACUCUCGUCUCAAAGCCAUUUUGUUCCGCUGCCGCUGCCUCUACGGCCAUAAAUGCCCAGAGAUUAGCAGAGAAGCUCCGAGCCCAGAAACGGGAACAAGACACAAAGAAGGAGCCGGUGUCCACAAACGCUGUUCAGCGGAGAGUGCAAGAAAUAGUGCGGUUCACACGGCAGCUGCAGCGAGUCCACCCCAACGUGCUUGCUAAGGCACUGACCCGAGGAAUUCUCCACCAGGACAAGAACCUUGUGGUCAUCAAUAAGCCCUACGGUCUCCCUGUGCAUGGUGGCCCUGGGGUCCAGCUCUGCAUCACUGAUGUACUACCUAUCCUGGCAAAGAUGCUUCAUGGCCACAAGGCAGAGCCCUUGCAUCUGUGCCACCGGCUGGACAAGGAAACCACAGGUGUAAUGGUGUUGGCUUGGGACAAGGACAUGGCACAUCAAGUCCAAGAGUUGUUUAGAACCCGUCAGGUGGUGAAGAAGUACUGGUAUGAGGCCUGCUGAUGGCAGUAGAGGUGGUAUAAGUGGAGGCAUUUCUUUCACCUAUUUAUCCAUUAAAAACAGAAACUCCCAUUAAUAGAAGGCACUGCACUAUGACCUGCGAGAUUAUAAAAAAUAUGUGAAACAGCUUUGGUGCUUAGAAUAUUAAGUCUGAUAGAACAGUGGUUCUUAAUUCUGGUAUACAUCAAAAUUAUCAAAAAUUAAUUAUACAAGCAUGGGGUGGACAUGGUGGCUCACGCCUGUAAUCACAGCACUUUGAGAGGCAGAGGUGGGAGGAUCACUUUAGGCCAAGAGUCGGAGAACACCCUGGGCAACAUAGUGACACCUUUUCUCUAUAAAAAGUAAGAAGUUAGUCCGGUAUAGUGGCACAUACCUGUAGUCCCAGCUACUUGGGAGGCCAGGGUGGGAGGAUCACUUGAGCCCAGGAGUUUGAGGUUACAGUGAGCUAUGAUCACACCACUGCACUCC